AAGGGAGCGUAGGCGGCUGAUUAAGUCAGCGGUGAAAGGUAGCAGCUUAACUGUUUUACAUGCCGUUGAUACUGGUUAGCUUGAGUUGACAGAAGGCAGAUAGAAUUCCUGGUGUAGCGGUGAAAUGCAUAGAUAUUAUCCAGAACACCAAUUGCGUAGGCAAGUUACUAAGUCUCAACUGACGCUGAGGCACGAAAGUGUGGGUAUCAAACAGGAUUAGAUACCCGUGU
rnacentral:rRNA from 1 species